CAUAUGUUUAACUGUAUGUCCUCAGUACUGAGUGAGUGUUGGUCUAGAACACAGUGAUAUAAUUUGUGACUAGAUUUUUACACUCACCAAGUAAGGUGGAAGAUAACGUCGUUAAGCCU
rnacentral:precursor_RNA from 11 species